AUAAAUUUGGUUCUAGUUUAUAAUUAAUUAAUUCUUUUAGAAACACAUGAUAGUUUUGCCGAAGCUGUAAAGAUAAAAAUAAACUUUAUUUGUAUAAAUUAUAAAAAAUAUUUAUUUUUAAGAUAUCAAUUAUUUCAAGACAUCGCUUACCACUUCAGUGUUAAAGAUUAAAAACAAAAGAYAUUUAGGUUUAGAAAUAGAUUUCAGAACUAGUUAAAUUUGUGCCAGCAACUGCGGUUAUACAAAAGGUUCAAGUUAAUCUAAACGGUAAAAGGUAGUUAUUUUUAUAAAGAUGUCAGAUUAUAAAAAAUGAAAAAGUAAAAUUUACAUUUUUUUAUCACCUUCUUCUUACUAAAAAAGACGCUACAAAAAUUUUAACUAAAACUGGGAUUAGAUACCCCACUAUUAAAAAAUUAAAUCAUUACACCAGAGUAUUACGAAUAAAUAUUGUUUAAAACUUAAAGAACUUGGCGGUGUCUUAUUCCUUUCUAGGGGAACCUGUAUUUUAACUCGACAACCCGCGCUUUACCUCACUUUACUUAAAUUUUACUAGUUUGUAUACUUCCGUCAUAAGUUAACUACUCAAGACAACUCUCUAUUAUGACAGGUCAAAACGCCAGUUAUAGUAAAGAUAAUAUUAGGGUUACAAUUUAAAUUUAAAAUACGGAAAUCUAUUGCAAUUAUAUUUAAUCAAGGCGGACUUAGAAGUAAAAAUAAAUUAUGAACAUUAUUUUGAAAAAGCUCUAAGACGUGUACAUAUCGCCCGUCACUCUCUUUUUAAAAAGAGAUAAGUCGUAACAUAGUAGGAGUAGCUGAAGCUGUUCCU
rnacentral:ncRNA from 1 species